rnacentral:lncRNA from 1 species
CUUUAAUUUCCCAUUUACAAACAUGUGACAUGCUUUUUAGUUGCAAAAGACAUUUUUUAAAGGGAGCUUACAAGAGGUAGCAUAUCAGAAGAUCUGAACAGAGUGGAUUUGUUGUGCUUCUUUCAGGUUAACUGUUUACAGCUUUUACCACGGAUGUUUCAAAAGUGCAAGAAAAUAAAUCUAAAUGCCUAUUUAGCUUUAAAAGCAUUUGGAAGACUAAUGGCAUGAUGGUUUUCUUCCCAUCAUUUUGGUGAUUUUUCUUCUUUCCAUUUCUAUCUUAAUCUUGUGCUUUUAUCCUUUUUAGUUUGUUGUAUUUUUUUUUUUUUUUUACCUUGUGUUUGAUUUCUUCCCAGGCACCUCCAGAAAGAGGGCAGAAGGUGGGAUCCAGAAAAUCUGCUGGCACCAACUGCAACUCCUGCCACGUGGAAAUGCUCCCAGGGAACAUCUGCUCUUCCUCAUGGAUUUGCAGAGGAAGAGAACAGGAACCAUUUGGUGUGUCUGUGCUGGUAAUGAAGACAUACACAUGCACUACUACCAGCUCUGCUUCAUGGAGCCAUUCCAUGCUCUUCAGGACUGGUUCAAAUGAAAUCAGGUCUUGGACACAUUGAGCUCUGGCAGUUUUUUGGGCAAUGCCUCCUUCCAUGCUCAAAGAACUGUUCAUAUGGGUCAGUCCUGCUCUGAGUGAAGUCUCAGGGAUCAUCAGUUACCAGCAAUAUUCUCUAAUUCUGAGUACAAAGUUAAAGGAUAUGGAAUUUACAUAAAGAAAUGUAAUAUUGGUUAGCAAAGAAUUUUACUGGAAGCAAUAAUCCACAAUUAACAAUGCGUUUAACAAGGCUUAAGAAUGCCCUCCUCCAGUUUCACCUGCAGGACUGGCACAACUGGCUAAUACAAGUUCCAGACUGGAAAGAAAUAUUUUCCUUUCUAAGCAUUUCAUUUGGAUCCUGACAGUUCUUUAACAAUCCUUUGGGUUUUUGUCUUUCCACUUCAAAUAUAUUAUUCCAGGUAAUAACUACAGUUAUUUACCAUUUUUAUCUCCACCUCUCAGUGGUGCUCUGAAAGUGCUUUUUGGAGGUCUAAAAUCACUGCAGGCCCCCUCAGAUGGAAGUAAGUUCUCAAGACACUUCUGGCCUUUUUAACAUUUUAUCAGACUUUUGUAUACCCACUUAAAAAUUAGACCAUCCAUACCAGUCUUAUUUGUGUUCCUCCUCUCUGCAGUGAUUCCUUGGCAGCUGGCCUUGCUUUUUUGGGCUGCAUGUUCUGUUUUCCUGGUAUGAAUCUUGCAUUACUUCUGAAAUGUGGGAUACUGUCAAAGGGAGGGAUAUUGACUGCAAUCAUCACAUAAAACUGCUGAGAAAGAGACAGAAUUGAUCUCACCCCUGGCUGAUGAAGACUUAGCCCCAUCCCAAGACUCCUAGACUAAACUUGGCCUACUAAUAAAAAAUGCCAAGCUACCUUCCUUUCA